rnacentral:rRNA from 1 species
AGCCUAUUCGGGGUGGAUUAGUGGCGAACGGGUGAGUAACACGUGGGCAAUCUGCCCUUCACUCUGGGACAAGCCCUGGAAACGGGGUCUAAUACCGGAUAACACUCUGUCCCGCAUGGGACGGGGUUAAAAGCUCCGGCGGUGAAGGAUGAGCCCGCGGCCUAUCAGCUUGUUGGUGGGGUAAUGGCCUACCAAGGCGACGACGGGUAGCCGGCCUGAGAGGGCGACCGGCCACACUGGGACUGAGACACGGCCCAGACUCCUACGGGAGGCAGCAGUGGGGAAUAUUGCACAAUGGGCGAAAGCCUGAUGCAGCGACGCCGCGUGAGGGAUGACGGCCUUCGGGUUGUAAACCUCUUUCAGCAGGGAAGAAGCGAAAGUGACGGUACCUGCAGAAGAAGCGCCGGCUAACUACGUGCCAGCAGCCGCGGUAAUACGUAGGGCGCAAGCGUUGUCCGGAAUUAUUGGGCGUAAAGAGCUCGUAGGCGGCUUGUCACGUCGGAUGUGAAAGCCCGGGGCUUAACCCCGGGUCUGCAUUCGAUACGGGCUAGCUAGAGUGUGGUAGGGGAGAUCGGAAUUCCUGGUGUAGCGGUGAAAUGCGCAGAUAUCAGGAGGAACACCGGUGGCGAAGGCGGAUCUCUGGGCCAUUACUGACGCUGAG